AAAAAGAAAUGCAUUUGGCUAAGAGGACUAAAAAAAUAUCAACGUGCUACAGUGAUACCUGCAUCUUCACAAAUACAGAGUGGGAUUCUCAAAGAGCUAGCAUUCUUUACCUACAAAGUCUGGGCUCCCACACGUCCUACUAGGCCACCUGAAAACAGACACCC